GCCAGCGUGGCAUAGCGUUUUGAGUGUGGGAUGACGACUCCGGAGACCAGGGUUCGAUUCCCAGCUCGGCCA